rnacentral:rRNA from 1 species
UACGGAGGGUGCGAGCGUUGUCCGGAAUCAUUGGGCGUAAAGGGCGCGUAGGUGGCCCGGUCAGUUCGUGGUGAAAGCGCGGGGCUCAACCCUGCGUCGGCCAUGAAUACUGCCGCGGCUGGAGCACUGUAGAGGCAGGCGGAAUUCCGGGUGUAGCGGUGGAAUGGCGUAGAGAUCCGGAAGAACACCGGUGGCGAAGGCGGCCUGCUGGGCAGUUGCUGCACUGAGGCG